rnacentral:rRNA from 1 species
AGAGUUUGAUCCUGGCUCAGGAUGAACGCUGGCGGCGUGCCUAAUACAUGCAAGUCGUACGGAAAGGCCUCUUCGGAGGUACUCGAGUGGCGGACGGCUGAGUAACGCGUAGGAAUGUACCCCAAAGUGAGGGAUAACCUCGGGAAACCGAGGCUAAUACCGCAUGUGCUCUAAGGAGUAAAGCUCCGGCGCUUUGGGAACAGCCUGCGUCUGAUUAGCUUGUUGGUGAGGUAAUGGCUCACCAAGGCGACGAUCGGUAGCUGGUCUGAGAGGAUGAUCAGCCAGACUGGGACUGAGACACGGCCCAGACUCCUACGGGAGGCAGCAGUAGGGAAUUUUCCACAAUGGGCGAAAGCCUGAUGGAGCAACGCCGCGUGCAGGAUGAAGGCCUUCGGGUUGUAAACUGCUUUUAUAAGUGAAGAUUAUGAGGGUAACUUAUGAAUAAGGAUCGGCUAACUCCGUGCCAGCAGCCGCGGUCAUACGGAGGAUCCAAGCGUUAUCCGGAAUUACUGGGCGUAAAGAGUUGCGUAGGCGGUUAAGUAAGUGAAUAGUGAAACUGUGUGGCUCAACCAUGCACCCAUUGUUCAAACUGCUUUGACUAGAGAAUGGAAGAGGUUGCUAGAAUUCCUAGUGUAGGGGUGAAAUCCGUAGAUAUUAGGAGGAAUACCAAUGGCGUAGGCAGGCAACUGGUCCAUUUCUGACGCUAAGGCACGAAAGCGUGGGGAGCGAUCGGGAUUAGAUACCCCGGUAGUCCACGCCGUAAACGAUGGAUGCUAGUUGUUCGGAGUAUCGACCCUCUGAGUAACGAAGCUAACGCGUUAAGCAUCCCGCCUGUGGAGUACGAGCGCAAGCUUAAAACUCAAAGGAAUUGACGG